rnacentral:rRNA from 1 species
UACGUAGGGUGCAAGCGUUGUCCGGAAUUAUUGGGCGUAAAGAGCUCGUAGGCGGUCUGUCGCGUCGGAUGUGAAAAUCCAGGGCUUAACCCUGGGCCUGCAUUCGAUACGGGCAGACUAGAGUUCGGUAGGGGAGACUGGAAUUCCUGGUGUAGCGGUGAAAUGCGCAGAUAUCAGGAGGAACACCGGUGGCGAAGGCGGGUCUCUAGGCCGACACUGACGCUGAGGAGCGAAAGCGUGGGGGAGCGAACAGG